rnacentral:rRNA from 1 species
UACGGAGGGUGCAAGCGUUGUCCGGAUUUAUUGGGUUUAAAGGGUGCGUAGGCGGCUUUUUAAGUCAGUGUUUAAAGUCUGCAGCUUAACUGUAGGAAUGGCAUUGAUACUGAUAGGCUUGAGUAAAGUUGAGGUAGGCGGAAUUGAUGGUGUAGCGGUGAAAUGCAUAGAUAUCAUCAAGAACAUCGAUUGCGAAGGCAGCUUACUAAGCUUUAACUGACGCUGAGGCACGAAAGCGUGGGGAUCAAACAGG